GUUCAUGUGAAGAUGGCGGACGAAGCAGUCUGUGUUGGCCCUGCUCCCACUAGCAAAAGCUACCUCAACAUGGAUGCCAUCAUGGAAGCCAUUAAGAGAACUGGUGCCCAAGCUGUCCACCCAGGAUAUGGGUUUCUUUCUGAAAACAAAGAAUUUGCCAGGCGUCUGCACACCUUGUAGCACCAAAGUUGAGGUCCACGUGGAAUUAUGGAGACUUCAUUUGAUUGUGAUUUUUUUCUAGAUGGGAAAUAAAAUUUUAUUUGUAUUAGAG